CCUACAAAUACACAUCAUCACUGUUGUGACGCCCCCAAAAUAGGUAUACAACACCCAUUCUGAGUCGUCAAAAUACAUGGUAUAGAAAGCAAAUUACAACUUUGACAAUACAGAUGUCGUGUAGAAUACGACAAUACAACUGUGAGUUUGAAUACAAAUAUUGUCUUCUAGACAAUAUACACACCCAAAUAAGUCCUCAUUAAUUAUUCAUACACUAUUUU
rnacentral:lncRNA from 1 species